AGAGUUUGAUCAUGGCUCAGGACGAACGCUUGCGGCGUGCCUAAGAAAUGCAAGUCGAGCGAGAACCAACCUUCGGGUGAAGUUCUAGCGGCGAACGGUCGCGUAACACGUAAGCAACCUGCCCUAAAGUUGGGGAUAGCCCUCCGAAAGGAGGAUUAAUACCGAAUGUGGACAUAUUUUCGCAUGUUUAUAUGUCUAAAGCAGCGAUGCGCUUUAGGAUGGGCUUGCGGCCUAUCAGCUAGUUGGUGUGGGUAACGGCCUACCAAGGCGACGACGGGUAGCUGGUCUGAGAGGAUGGUCAGCCGGAUUGGGACUGAGACACGGCCCAGACUCCUACGGGGGGCAGCAAUUAGGAAUCUUGCGCAAUGGGCGAAAGCCUGACGCAGCGACGCCGCGUGACUGAUGAAGUCUUUCGGGAUGUAAAGGUCUUUUGCAGGGGACGAAGGAAGUGACGGUACCCUGCGAAUAAGCCCCGGCUAACUACGUGCCAGCAGCCGCGGUAAUACGUAGGGGGCGAGCGUUGUCCGAAUUCACUGGGCGUAAAGCGCGCGUAGGCGGGUUUUUAAGUUGUGGGUGAAAUUCCGAGGCUCAACCUCGUAACUGCCUGCAAAACUGGGAGCCUUGAGGUAUGGAGAGGGAAGUGGAAUUCCUGGUGUAGCGGUGAAAUGCGUAGAUAUCAGGAGGAACACCCGUGGCGAAGGCGGCUUCCUGGCCAUAUCCUGACGCUGAGGUGCGAAAGCUAGGGUAGCGAACGGGAUUAGAUACCCCGGUAGUCCUAGCCGUAAACGAUGGAUACUAGGUGUUAGAGGUAUCGACCUCUCUAGUGCCGCAGCUAACGCAUUAAGUAUCCCGCCUGGGGAGUACGACCGCAAGGUUGAAACUCAAAGGAAUUGACGG
rnacentral:rRNA from 1 species